AGCAGCAGUCAUAGUUAGAUGAAGACCACCUAGAAGGUCCCCCUAGGGCAGAAUUUAAACACAAAGACCACCAACAAAAACAGUCAAUAGCUGCAUGAUGUGACGAAAUCAAUAAUUACCUACAGGAGAAACGAAGCAUUUGGAAUUCAUGGUCCUUGCUCCGAGCAGGUCGAUGCUGAAAAAUAUUCUUGCUGAAAAAUAAGACUUCAGACUGGCCACCACUCAAACCCAACAGUACAAGAGCUGCGGGGAAGUGGGCCGCCCAGUCAGGCAUGAUGAGGCCGCUGUUCCCUCAAGCACAGAGAGGCCGGCGCACUGUCGAUCGCAGUCAGGGCUGCGGAGAGUGUGCAACUGCAUCACCGAC